CCUACGGGUGGCAGCAGUGAGGAAUAUUGGUCAAUGGGCGAGAGCCUGAACCAGCCAAGUCGCGUGAAGGAUGACGGCCCUACGGGUUGUACACUUCUUUUGUCAGGGAGCAAUUGGGUCCACGCGUGGGCUUAGCUAUAGUACCUGAAGAAAAAGCAUCGGCUAACUCCGUUCCAGCAGCCGCGGUAAUACGGAGGAUGCGAGCGUUAUCCGGAUUUAUUGGGUUUAAAGGGUGCGUAGGCGGACUAUCAAGUCAGCGGUAAAGAUUCGGGGCUAAACCCCGUCGUGCCGUUGAAACUGAUGUUCUUGAGUGGGCGAGAGGUAUGCGGAAUGCGUGGUGUAGCGGUGAAAUGCAUAGAUAUCACGCAGAACUCCGAUUGCGAAGGCAGCAUACCGGCGCCCAACUGACGCUGAAGCACGAAAGCGUGGGUAUCGAACAGGAUUAGAUACCCUUGUAGUC
rnacentral:rRNA from 1 species